UACGUAGGGACCAAGCGUUGUUCGGAUUUACUGGGCGUAAAGGGCGCGUAGGCGGCAUGACAAGUCACUUGUGAAAUCUCUGGGCUUAACCCAGAACGGCCAAGUGAUACUGUCGCGCUAGAGUGCGGAAGGGGCAAUCGGAAUUCUCGGUGUAGCGGUGAAAUGCGUAGAUAUCGAGAGGAACACCUGCGGCGAAGGCGGGUUGCUGGGCUGACACUGACGCUGGAAGUGCGAAAGCUAGGGGAGCGAACCGG
rnacentral:rRNA from 1 species